rnacentral:lncRNA from 1 species
AUGUUAGCUAUGGAUGUGGCUGUUGAGAAAACCUGGAAAAAGGAUGAAGGAGCUUUUACUAUCAAAAUAAAAGGAAAGUAUUGGUCAGGAGACGCCGGAUUCAGCUUCCUCCUCAGAAUAUUCAGGUGGGAGAGAAACCUGCCGUCUGUCCUUCUGAGCCCAAGAGGAUUCCACCCAAAGCUUCCAGACGGGCCUUCAGGACUUCCCAAUCUCCUCGUGUAAUCUCUUUCAGGGCUUCGCAGCUUACUCUUCAAAAAGCUUUUCUUUGGUCUGUUUCUCCUUUAAGAAAAUGCAAGAUACAAAUAUUUGAUUUAAAUCAGAUCCACAAAUGUUAGAUAAUUGUUUCUCCUCUUUACUCUGAAAAUGUAUUGGAUUCCUUCAAACAGAUGCUCUCAAUACGAUGGAUAUUAAAUAGAACGGAAAAUUCUUGUUAAGCCCACACUGUUCAGCCCGCCGAGGCACCGUAUGCCUUUCUAUGCUCUGCUGUCUUGUUAAUGAAAGGCUGCUAAUCCCACCAGAGCUAGAAGGA